UUCCUGGUGGUUCAAUGGUUAGGACUCGGCACUUUCAUUGCUGGGACCCAGGUUCAAUUCCCUGGUCGGGGAA
rfam:TPA: Bos taurus chromosome 15, whole genome shotgun sequence.